rnacentral:rRNA from 1 species
CAAUAGCGUAUAUUAAAGUUGUUGCAGUUAGAACGCUCGUAGUCGGAUUUCGGGGCGGGCCGACCGGUCUGCCGAUGGGUAUGCACUGGUCGGCGCGCCCUUCCUUCCGGAGACCGUCCCUACUCUUAACUGAGCGGGGGCGGGAGACGGGACUUUUACUUUGAAAAAAUCAGAGUGUUUCAAGCAGGCAGCUCGCUCUUGCAUGGAUUAGCAUGGGAUAAUGAAAUAGGACUUUGGUGCUAUUUUGUUGGUUUCGAACACCGAAGUAAUGAUGAGAAGGGACAGUCAGGGGCACUCGUAUUCCGCCGAGAGAGGUGAAAUUCUCAGACCAGCGGAAGACGAACCACUGCGAAAGCAUUUGCCAGGGAUGUUUUCACUGA